AUUGAACGCUGGCGGAAGGCCUAACACAUGCAAGUCGAACGAGUGGCGGACGGGUGAGUAAUGUCUGGGAAACUGCCUGAUGGAGGGGGAUAACUACUGGAAACGGUAGCUAAUACCGCAUACCAUCGGAUGUGCCCAGAUGGGAUUAGCUCGUAGGGGGGGUAACGGCUCACCUAGGCGACGCUCCCUAGCUGGUCUGAGAGGAGGACCAGCCACACUGGAACUGAGGCACGGUCCAGACUCCUACGGGAGGAAGCAGUGGGGAAUAUUGCACAGUGGGCGCAAGCCUGAUGCAGCCAUGCCGAGUGUAUGAAGAAGGCCUUCGGGUUGUAAAGUACUUUCAGCGGGGCGGCGUUACCCGCAGAAGAAGCACCGGCUAACUCCGUGCCAGCCGCCGCGGUAAUAC
rnacentral:rRNA from 1 species